GUGUCCCUUCUAUCUAUGGCUGUUUUGCCCGACUGCAUUUAUGAGUGCUUGUGUGCUGCUACCAGACAUAUUGGAAGUUGCAUUCGACACAUGUUGCGUUUGUCGUUCUCGCCCUAUGGCUCUGCACGUCGACAUGAAAGCUUCCCAGCGGUUGCCUCGGGUAGCCAGCUGCUAAGCCUGCCUUCCCCCAGGAACCCUUUGUGGAAGCCUUUGGGCCUGGAAGGGGGUUAACAAAAAAGGCCGAUGGGCCUUUGCCCCCCCGUGCCCUGCAAAAAUUGCCCAACCGGAAAAUAACGACACCGGGCCAAGUUAAGCCCUUGGGCGAAGCCUUGGCCUGCUCCGCCAACAGAGGACUGGCUAACUGGGUGAACCCGCCAGUAG
rnacentral:misc_RNA from 1 species